rnacentral:misc_RNA from 1 species
UGCCCCUCACUUGCCAAUACGUCUAGAUCAGCCAUGGCGUCGGCAUGUGUAGCGUAUUAUGUUGGGCUCUCUCGAGAUAAGGAUACGAUGUCCCUUUAUCGGUUGGUUUCCUGUGUGUGCGGCCCGUUCGUUUUUUUGUUACUUUCGCAUCGUUCGGUGCAUUCUGGGGGCUGUGUUGGCUUUUGGUGGCUUGCUUGGCCUUUUGGCUUUGCUUGUUGCUACUUGUCGGGCUGCUUUCGGGAAUGUCGACCGUGGAGGUGCAUGAGUGGUGUUUGGUUUGUUACGUGUGGAUGGCUGUUUGCUUGUGCAACAACGUUCACGCUGCAUACCUCUUCAGUUUUGCGGCAAGGCUUGGUUUGGCUUGUGCAUAUUGUGGGUUUCCUGUGUUGCAUACCUAGUUGAUGGAAAAGUGUGGGUUUUACGAUUUUCAUUUUCGUCUUGCGUCGUUCUUUUGGCGUGGGAUGAACAAUGAAGCGAUCUUUAUGAUCCAUCGUGCUGUUGCGUUUGCAACAAUGAUGUGGCCUAUGAAGCAUCGUUUGGUCUCUUGUAUACGGAAGCUCAUUUGGGCUUGGGUCUUUAUAAGAUCUUCGUUACGCCCUUGUUAAGCGUUCUCGCUUCUCCUAAACGAUUG